CCCUCGGCUCAUAAAUUAGAACAUUCUAGACAACACGGCCACCUAUUUGCUCUUAAUUCUUCAUUAUUUAUUUCUUUAUUCAUUUAUUUAUUUAUUUAUAGACAGGAAGCAGGAUUUAUUGGUGGGCAUGAAUGGGAAAGGGCAGUGCUGAGGUUCUCAUGAGUGCAGAGCCUGCCAUUUGUCCAAGGGGCCACGAUUAGGGAUGUAUUUGACCCCACAGCCAUCUGGGAUGAGCCGCUUUUCAGCCACCAGAUCUGAAGAGCAC